rnacentral:rRNA from 1 species
GACGGAGGGCGCAAGCGUUGUUCGGAAUUACUGGGCGUAAAGCGCGGGCAGGUGGUCUGUUAAGUCGUUUGUGAAAGCCCGGGGCUCAACCCCGGGACUGCAUUUGAAACUAUCAAACUGGAGUGCAGGAGAGGUAAGUGGAAUUCCUAGUGUAGCGGUGAAAUGAGUAGAUAUUAGGAGGAACACCAGUGGCGAAGGCGGCUUACUGGACUGUAACUGACGUUGAGGCUCGAAAGCGUGGGGAGCAAACAGGAUUAGAUACCCGGGUAGUCCCUGAGCGGG